rnacentral:SRP_RNA from 1 species
UGAGGGAUGCAGAAUGUGGUGUGAGUGGUUGCUGAAUGCUGUGCUGAACAUGUAGAUGGGCUGCCCCAGCCAAGUGGAUAGCCUACAAGGACUGCAGGAUGUAGAUCCAGCAGUCCUGGUAGAUAAUGAUUCAGACACCGGCUCAGGCUGGCAACAGAGCAGGCAAACCUGAACACUAUCGCGCAGUGGUGGGAAUACAGCCCA